rnacentral:lncRNA from 1 species
UGGAAUAGGACACUGGUCACAGCUUCGUGGAGAGACAGGCGCACGAAUCAAGACAAAGAUAUAAGCAGUGGGAGUUAUAACCUUUCCUCUGCAACGACCGGCAGCUACUACAGUUGUGUCAGCCAGGUCACCAUAGGUUACGAUGCUGCAGGACCUGUUGCAAUUGGGCUCACCCACUGGAAAAAUCCCUACGCACAAGGCAGACCCACCCUACCAUCAGAUCUGCCUCUCUUCAUCUCCAAAGAUGCAGGCGUCCCAGUGUAUCACCAAUCCCUCACUCGUAAGACUGAGUUGGCCACGCCUCUGUCUUGCCCAGCCUCACUGUCCAUCACUCCAGUGCCUUCUUACAGCAGCAGCAGCCAGGAAACCCUGAGCCAGGACACAACAGGUAACAGAGCUGGCUUCCUGUUGGAGAUUCAGGACACAGUGUGUUUAAAGAGUCCUUCAUGCAUUUGCCUACUGAAUGGAUUGCAUCUGUAUUUCUGCUUGUGGACUCCAACAAUUCUCCCAUAUUUGCUGGCCUUUAAAUACCUUGGGUGUAUCAGAAGUAAGGUUAGAUGUGUUCAGAAAUAUUUGACCUAAGCAUUAGUUCUCUUUGGUAUGAUGUCAUCUGGAAAUCAACUCUGAACUAGAAUUCCAGGACUUUUUUCUUUGUUUAAUUUCUAUUCUCUAGAUAGCGACAAGGCAUCUAUCUUGAAUUACACUUUUGUAUUCAAGAAAGUUUUGAAUACAGUCAAGUUGGUAGUCAGUUGCUAUCAACACUUGAUGCUCCACCAGUUUGAUCUAUGUCAGGGGUCUGCCCAUCACUGCCAAUGGGCCAAAUCUUGGCUGCCGCUUGUUCUUUUUCAGCCCAAGAACUAAGAACUAAAAAUAGUUUGUUUUAAAUGGUCAGUAUCUUAGUCUGUUCAUGCUGCUAUGACAAGACCACAGAUCAGGUAGUUCAUAAAAAAGCAAAACAGUCUAGGGGCUGGAGGUUUGAGAUCAGGAUGCCAGCAUAGUUGGGUGAGGACCCUUUUUUGGGUCACAGACCUCUCGUAGUGUCCUUACAUGACAGAAAGGGUGAGGGAUCUCUGUGGGGUCUUUUUUGUAAGAAUGCUAAUCCCAGUCACGAUGGCUUUACCUUCAUGACCUAAGCACCUCCCAAGGGCCCCACCUCCUAAUACCAUCAUAUUAGGCAUUAGGACUUCAAAUGUAUACAUUUUGGAGGGACACAAACGUUCAGACCAUACUGCUGGGAAAAAUUAAAAGGAUGAUAAUCUUUGAGACAUGUGAAAUUCACAUUUCAGGGUUCAUAUAUAAAGCUUUGUUGGGACACAACCACUUGCGUUUUUGUCUCUGGUUGCUUUCAGGUGACAAUGGCAGAGUUGAGUAAUUGUGACAGAAAAUGGUAUGGCCUGCAAAGCCUAAAAUAUUUGCUCUGUGGCUCUUUGCAAAAAAUGUUGACCACUGAUCUAUGUGAUCUUUGGGGCUCAUGACUUAUACAGUCAGGGCAAGAAGAAUAUUCACAGCAUCUUGCUUUGAAAUUUAUUGCUUCCAUUAUAACUUUGAGUUGUGGAAAGCUUUACUUAGGCAAGAAUGGCCAGUUAAUUAAACAUUUCUAG